GCGCUGACGUCAGGGGCGCACGUGGCCCGCGGGCCCGGGUGCGGGCUGGCGCCGGCGGCGGCGGGGCGGGCGCCGCGCCAUGAGGCUGCAGCUGGAGCGGUGCCGCGGCGAGUGGCGGGAGCUGGAGAAGGAGUUCCGGCAGCUCCAGGAAACACACAAAGUUUACAGGCAGAAACUGGAAGAAGUCACCAGCUUGCAGACAGCCUGCAGCAGCUCCAUACACCGGCAGAAGAAGACACUAAGGGAUCUGAAGCACAGCUUGCAACGGUGCAAGCCUAGAGCAAGUCCUGAAGAGUUUGCCCUCAUUCAGGAGAUCAGCAGCCAGAUCAAGGAGAGGCAAAAUGCCUUCUUUGACAUGGAAGCCUACUUGCCGAAGAAGAACGGCUUGUACUUAAAUCUGGUGCUGGGAAACGUGAAUGUAACUCUCCUCAGUAACCAAGCGAAAUUUGCCUACAAGGAUGAGUAUGAGAAGUUCAAGCUUUAUCUGACGAUAAUCUUGUUACUCGGGGCUGUCGCCUGCAGGUUUAUUCUCCACUACAGGGUGACAGAUGAAGUGUUUAACUUUCUGUUGGUCUGGUAUUACUGCACACUGACGAUACGGGAAAGCAUUCUCAUUAGCAAUGGAUCAAGGAUCAAAGGCUGGUGGGUGUCUCAUCACUAUGUUUCCACAUUCCUGUCUGGAGUAAUGUUAACGUGGCCAGAUGGACUCAUGUAUCAGAUGUUUCGCAGUCAAUUUUUAGCAUUUUCAAUAUUUCAGAGUUGUGUUCAGUUCCUACAGUAUUAUUAUCAGAGGGGCUGCCUUUACAGACUCCGUGCUCUGGGGGAGAGAAACCACUUGGACCUUACAGUAGAAGGAUUUCAGUCCUGGAUGUGGCGGGGGCUGACGUUUCUCCUUCCCUUCUUGUUCUUUGGGCAUGUAAGUUGUUGGGCAAUCCUGUUCCUCCCCCUGUGGCGCGGGGCCUGGGAGGGUCUGCCACUGCGGUUGCAGCACCAUAAGAAGGUGCUUUGGGUCACACAUGCAUGUGGCAAAUGUUUUGAAGGGUUUCAGGGUUGGUUGUUGUUGUUUUGUUUUUUGCAAGUAAUGAAAUUGCUUCCCCCACCCCACUCCCUUGUAGUUCUGGCAGCUAUAUAACGCAAUCACGCUUUUUGGAUUGUCGAGGCAUGAGGAGUGCAAAGAAUGGCAGGUUUUUGUGUUGGCUUUCACGUUUCUGCUGCUCUUCCUCGGGAACUUCCUCACUACUCUCAAAGUGGUGCACACUAAACUCCAGAAAAACAAAGAUAAAACGAAGAAGCUGUGAACCCCCACUCCCCGGCAUGCUGGCUGCCGUCCCUCUACCCGCAGCAGGCUCUGGCUUUAGGACGCAUCCUGCUAAACCCCAGCUACACAACGGACAGGCUCGGAAGGACUCCUCUGUCCCCGUGUUUGGUGAAGGAUAUGGACUCUGCCAGCACAGACUCAGUAUUAACGCAAGCAUGGCUCUCCAGUCUGCAGUCCUGCUAUUUAUGUAUAUUUAAGACAAAACGUGUUUGCUUUUGGGGUUUUUUUUUCUGUAUAUAGAGCAGCAUGUACCUGCCUGGUGAAGCGCCAGCACUGGGAGAAUGUGGGAUCUACUGUAAUUCCGAUUCUGGAAUGAUAUUUAACACUUCCUGGUUUUAUUAUUUAAAUUCUGGGUAUUGGAUUUGCAAAGGUUUAUGAACACUCUGCGUUGAUCAGUGAUACAGACUGAA